rnacentral:antisense_RNA from 1 species
CUUGAUGGAACCGAGCCACAGUGGACGGUUGUCGGCGCGCUCCUGGCCGUAGGUGGCCAGCAGGGCCUGCGCCUC